UAAAAGGGCAUGUUUGUAAUUCUAAUAUUCCAGAAGAAACCCUAAAUCCCCAUCCUUAAAAGCCUAGCCCGAACUCCGUCUCUGUUACUGCACUCUUUCUUCCAUUUCAAUUACAGAUUCACGUCUUCAAUUUCCACUGCCUCUUUGAGUAGCCAUAUGAAUUGAGAAACAAUUUCAUAGCUGGCUUAGUUAGGAGGCAGAAAUCAAAUUAGAUCGAAAGAUGUUUUGUCUUCGGUCGUUUCAAUCUAAGGCCCUUUUGAGGGGACAAUUUUGCUCUUUUCAUUACCAGUUGUCCUCCAAGCAGCCUUAGACAUUCCUUAAUUUAUUUCAUCUUUUAAUUUUUAUUGUAAUAAUGCCUUCGAAUAACCAGAAGGUCUCUUAACAAGACAAUACCGUCUGGUUCAGACAGAGGCGUACAACAAUCUGGAUCUCUUUUGAGAGGUUUUGAGAUUGAGAGGGUUAAUUGAUUCAAAGAGGGAUUAAAUUAAUAGCCUCACAAAAUCAAAGGAUAUUCAGAAUACGAGAUGCCCCAUUUGGUCUCGCCUGAGGCUGAUAAUAAGAGUUUUCCCGAGCCAGUUUGAGGGAAAGGAGCAUAUCAUGUCUUCUCUGUUCCUUACUUUUAGGUGAAUUCAGACAUGUAUAGAUACAUCCUUUUGUGGUGGAAUGAUGGGUCUAAAAUCACUAUCCUGCACAGUAAAUCCAUGAAUGCUGGAUUUAGUUUAGUGCAUACGGUUUGAUUGUUGAUUUUGUGCAUGUUUAUUGGGUGGGCCGAUGAUGAUAUCAUUCACCAAACCAUCUUUCGGGACUGAAUGACUCGAAUGAGUCUUCUGACAGACAUUUUCUGCAAUUCUGAGGCCUUGAUACCCAUUUGUUACAUUUAACUUUCUUCUUGUCA